CAGAUUUGUCUUCUAGGUCGGUGGAAAACGAAUGCAUUUCAAAAGUAUAUUCGAGUUUCAUCUCUUUCAACGACUGCUUCAUUAUCUGAGUAACACAAUCCUUCCAAACCGGGCGACAAUGUUGCGGGGUGUUGUCGCUUGGUCCGUUGCAUCGUAUAUUUGGUGGUCCAGAGGGCCUGUCUAGCAGGGGCGGACAUCUCUUCUUGAUCACCAGAUAUAUUAAUGUUCAUUAGUAAUUAUUCACUUAAACUGUUAUUUCUGACUAUUUUCUUCCUUUCUGUGUGUUAACCACAGUUAGCAGGGGCGACUGUUAAAUGUUUAGUGGUUGUGUUAACAACAGUCAGCAAGGGCGACUGUUAGAUGUUUAGUAUUGAAGGGC
rnacentral:lncRNA from 1 species